rnacentral:rRNA from 1 species
GACGAACGCUGGAGGCGUGCUUAACACAAGCAAGUCGAACGAUGAAAUGGAGCUUGCUCCAUGGAUUAGUGGCGAACGGGUGAGUAACACGUGAAUAACCUGCCCUUAAUUUUGGAAUAACCCAGGGAAACCUGGGCUAAUACCGGAUAAGUAAACCUGUGGCAUCACAUGGUUUUGGAAAGUUUUUCGAUUAAGGAUGGAUUCGCGGCCUAUCAGCUUGUUGGUGAGGUAAUGGCUCACCAAGGCGACGACGGGUAGCCGGCCUGAGAGGGUGAACGGCCACACUGGGACUGAGACACGGCCCAGACUCCUACGGGAGGCAGCAGUGGGGAAUAUUGCGCAAUGGGCGAAAGUCUGACGCAGCGACGCCUCGUGAGGGACGAAGGUCUUCGGAUUGUAAACCUCUUUCAGCAGGGACGAAGCGAAAGUGACGGUACCUGCAGAAGAAGCACCGGCUAACUAUGUGCCAGCCGCCGCAGUAA